CUACCUUAUACAGGGGAAUAGCCCGAAGAAAUUCGGAUUAAUGCUCCAUGGUUUAUCGAUAUGGCAUCGUAUUGAUAAUAAAGAUUUAUCGGUAUAAGAUGGGCAUGCGUAUCAUUAGCUAGUUGGUGUGGUAACGGCAUACCAAGGCAACGAUGAUUAGGGGUCCUGAGAGGGAGAUCCCCCACACUGGUACUGAGACACGGACCAGACUCCUACGGGAGGCAGCAGUGAGGAAUAUUGGUCAAUGGAGGCAACUCUGAACCAGCCAUGCCGCGUGCAGGAUGACGGUCCUAUGGAUUGUAAACUGCUUUUGUACAGGAAGAAACCUCCCUACGAGUAGGGACUUGACGGUACUGUAAGAAUAAGGAUCGGCUAACUCCGUGCCAGCAGCCGCGGUAAUACGGAGGAUCCGAGCGUUAUCCGGAAUUAUUGGGUUUAAAGGGUUCGUAGGCGGCUUUGUAAGUCAGUGGUGAAAUUUCCUAGCUUAACUAGGACACUGCCAUUGAUACUGCAGAGCUUGAAUAAUAUGGAAGUAACUAGAAUAUGUAGUGUAGCGGUGAAAUGCUUAGAUAUUACAUGGAAUACCAAUUGCGAAGGCAGGUUACUACGUAUUUAUUGACGCUGAUGAACGAAAGCGUGGGGAGCGAACAGGAUUAGAUACCCUGGUAGUCCACGCCGUAAACGAUGGAUACUAGCUGUUCGGUUUUCGGACUGAGUGGCUAAGCGAAAGUGAUAAGUAUCCCACCUGGG
rnacentral:rRNA from 1 species